UACAGAGGUCUCAAGCGUUGUUCGGAUUCAUUGGGCGUAAAGGGUGUGUAGGUGGCGCGCUAAGUCGGGUGUGAAAUUUCGGAGCUUAACUCCGAAACUGCAUUUGAUACUGGCGUGCUUGAGGACUGGAGAGGAGACUGGAAUUCAUGGUGUAGCAGUGAAAUGCGUAGAGAGUCGGGAGGAACACCCGUGGCGAAGGCGGCCACCUGGGCCGACCCUGACGCUGAGGCGCGAAGGCGUGGGGAGCGAACGGG
rnacentral:rRNA from 1 species